GUGGGGAAUCUUCCGCAAUGGACGAAAGUCUGACGGAGCAACGCCGCGUGAGUGAAGAAGGUUUUCGGAUCGUAAAGCUCUUUCGUUAGGGACGAACGUGCUCUUUGUGAAUAAUGAGGAGUAAUGACGGUACCUAAAUAAGAAGCCACGGCUAACUACGUGCCAGCAGCCGCGGUAAUACGUAGGUGGCAAGCGUUGUCCGGAAUUAUUGGGCGUAAAGCGCGCGCAGGUGGGAUAUCAAGUCUGUCUUAAAAGUGCGAGGCUCAACCUCGUGAGGGGACAGAAACUGGUAUUCUUGAGUGUCGGAGAGGAAAGUGGAAUUCCAAGUGUAGCGGUGAAAUGCGUAGAGAUUUGGAAGAACACCAGUGGCGAAGGCGACUUUCUGGACGAUGUCUGACGCUGAGGCGCGAAAGCUAGGGGAGCGAACGGGAUUAGAAACCCUAGUAGUCC
rnacentral:rRNA from 1 species